CCAGACAUGGUGUAGUGGAAACACGGCCUCUUCAUUUGUACUAGUAGGUUCUUGCAAAUUAUAAGAGAUAGUCCAGGGUUUGUAUCCCUGUGUCUGAA